rnacentral:rRNA from 1 species
GAGCUCAAAUUUGUAAUCUGGCGGCCUUUGGCCGUCCGAGUUGUAGUCUCGAGAAGCGUUUUCUGCGCCGGACCGUGUACAAGUCCCUUGGAACAGGGCGUCACAGAGGGUGAGAAUCCCGUCUUUGACACGGACUGCCGGUGCUUUGUGAUGCGCUCUCAAAGAGUCGAGUUGUUUGGGAAUGCAGCUCAAAACGGGUGGUAAAUUCCAUCUAAAGCUAAAUAUUGGCGAAAGACCGAUAGCGAACAAGUACCGUGAGGGAAAGAUGAAAAGCACUUUGGAAAGAGAGUUAAACAGUACGUCAAAUUGCUGAAAGGGAAACGCUUGAAGUCAGUCGCGUCUCCCGGGACUCAGCCGUGCCCCCAUUCGGGGGGGUGUACUUUCUGGGUAUGACGGGCCCACAUUGAUUUUGGGCCGUCGGAGAAAGGGUUGGGGAAUGGGGCACCUUUGGGUGUGUUAUAACCCUGGGUCGCAUGCCAAGGGUGGGAAUCAAGGACCGCAACACGUUCUUCCUUUUGCAAAGGGGGCUUGGGGGUUCGCCACGCAAACCUUGCUUAAGAUGCUUGGCGUAAUGGCUUUAAACGAACCCGUUUUGAAANACGGACCAAGGAGUCCAACAUGCCUGCGAGUGUUUGGGUGGAAAACCCGGACGCGCAAUGAAAGUGAAAGGUUGGGACCUCUGUCGUGGAGGGCACCGACGCCCGGACCAGACCUUCUGUGACGGUUCCGAGGUAGAGCA